GCCAGUAUGGUGUAGUGGCUUGAGCACUGGGCUACGACUCUGGAGACUAGGGUUUGAAUCCCUGUUCAGCCA